ACACAUGCAGUCGAACGAUGAACCACUUCGGUGGGGAUUAGUGGCGAACGGGUGAGUAACACGUGGGCAAUCUGCCCUGCACUCUGGGACAAGCCCUGGAAACGGGGUCUAAUACCGGAUACUGACCCGCUUGGGCAUCCAAGCGGUUCGAAAGCUCCGGCGGUGCAGGAUGAGCCCGCGGCCUAUCAGCUUGUUGGUGAGGUAAUGGCUCACCAAGGCGACGACGGGUAGCCGGCCUGAGAGGGCGACCGGCCACACUGGGACUGAGACACGGCCCAGACUCCUACGGGAGGCAGCAGUGGGGAAUAUUGCACAAUGGGCGAAAGCCUGAUGCAGCGACGCCGCGUGAGGGAUGACGGCCUUCGGGUUGUAAACCUCUUUCAGCAGGGAAGAAGCGAAAGUGACGGUACCUGCAGAAGAAGCGCCGGCUAACUACGUGCCAGCAGCCGCGGUAAUACGUAGGGCGCGAGCGUUGUCCGGAAUUAUUGGGCGUAAAGAGCUCGUAGGCGGCUUGUCNCGUCGGUUGUGAAAGCCCGGGGCUUAACCCCGGGUCUGCAGUCGAUACGGGCAGGCUAGAGUUCGGUAGGGGAGAUCGGAAUUCCUGGUGUAGCGGUGAAAUGCGCAGAUAUCAGGAGGAACACCGGUGGCGAAGGCGGAUCUCUGGGCCGAUACUGACGCUGAGGAGCGAAAGCGUGGGGAGCGAACAGGAUUAGAUACCCUGGUAGUCCACGCCGUAAACGGUGGGCACUAGGUGUGGGCGA
rnacentral:rRNA from 1 species